rnacentral:rRNA from 1 species
UACGUAGGGGGCAAGCGUUGUCCGGAGUUACUGGGCGUAAAGCGCACGCAGGCGGUGCGGUAAGUUCCAUGUGACAGUGCCCGGCUUAACUGGGCAAGGCUGUGGAAGACUGCCGGACUUGAGGGCCAGAGAGGGACAUAGAAUUCCGGGUGGAGUGGUGAAAUGCGUAGAUAUCCGGAGGAAUACCAAAGGCGAAGGCAGUGUCCUGGCUGGCAACUGACGCUGAGGUGCGAAAGCUAGGGGAGCGAACAGG